rnacentral:rRNA from 1 species
UACAGAGGUCCCAAGCGUUGUUCGGAUUCACUGGGCGUAAAGGGUGCGUAGGUGGUCGGGUAAGUCUGAUGUGAAAUCUCCGGGCCUAACCCGGAAACUGCAUCGGAUACUAUUCGGCUGGAGGGUUGGAGGGGGGACUGGAAUACUUGGUGUAGCAGUGAAAUGCGUAGAUAUCAAGUGGAACACCAGUGGCGAAGGCGGGUUGCUGGGCCGACACUGACGCUGAUGCGCGAAAGCCAGGGGAGCGAACGGG